rnacentral:rRNA from 1 species
CAGCAGCCGCGGGAAUACGUAGGGGGCAAGCGUUGCCCGGAAUUAUUGGGCGUAAAGCGCGCGCAGGCGGUUCUUUAAGUCUGGUGUAUAAGUGCGGGGCUCAACCCCGUGAGGCACUGGAAACUGGGGAACUUGAGUGCAGAAGAGGAGAGCAGAAUUCCACGUGUAGCGGUGAAAUGCGUAGAGAUGUGAAGGAACACCAGUGGCGAAGGCGGCUCUCUGGACUGUAACUGACGCUGAGGCGCGAAAGCGUGGGGAGCAAACAGGAUUAGAUACCCCCGUAGUCCCUGUCUCUUAUACA